AACCAUAGUUAAUAUAGAAGACCGGGUUUGGAAGGCCGGCAAACUUCAAAGCAACACGUGAUCAAAUGGGAUACCAUGUUACAAAGUACGUCACGUGACAGCUUAUAGUGCAUUCGAGCUGCAAUUCAUAGUAGAAACUUAUAGAAAAUAGAGGGAUCUUUGUCUAAAAUCACCAUUUUCUCGUCUCAUACGAGGUCUAUGGAGCCAUGCGGCAUUGAAUACAUGGAGAUGGACGAAGAGAGUUCUUUGCCAUUUUAUGAAGGCAAUGGAGCCUAUAGUUCGGGUUUUGAAGACGAUUUUGAGCAAACUCUUGCUAAUGCUUGGAUUGCUUGAUAUGGACUUCGAGGUGGUGAUGAUCGAGGUUCAAAAUUCUCAUGAAGAGGUGAGUUAAAUAUCAAAAUAACUUAUAAAAGUAAGCCGUGCCUUUUCAAUAACCUCACCUAUAAUUUAACUUGAAUCUAGGUUGAAGGAAAUAAGCAAUUCCCUUGCGACUUUUGUGAGAAAAUUUGCAAGUCAAAGGGUGCAUGGUCUAACAAAACAUCAACAUCCUUCUGAAGCUUUAUAUUAUAAAUUAAAAGAAAGAAGAGCAAAGAAAACUUUCUAAAGGAGUUUUAUGGCAAUACAAACGCCCAUUGGCAACAAUAUUUUCAUCCUUAUCCUGACAAGAUUGAGCAACCUUUUGACUCUGAGGUAAUUGUUUUCUGAGUUUCUGACAUAGUUUAAUAUAUUUAUCAGUUUGACCUAGCUAGCUAGAUGGUGUAUGUCUGGAGGUAGUGUAUUUCAAUAAGGUCUAUAAAUUGUAUAAUAUAUAAUACUGGUCAAACCUAUAUAAAGUUCCCUCAAAUUAUGUAAUAAUUUUAAAAUACAACUACCCUGUACUCAUGCACAACCAUCUUUGUUUCCAAAGGUAAUGACCAGGGUAAUACCCCUGGGUAGAAAUAUAGUAGCUCAAUUUACCCAGUGUAUUAGCAUUUAUUGUGUUUUUAUUAACUUAUUUUAGGAUGAAGUUUCUCUAUCAUCACAAAAGCUUGGCCAUUGACCUAUUUGGCUGGUUAUGUCAUGAACUCACGAUAAGAUCUUUGUAUCGAAAAAGCAAAAAUUGUUCCAGGUGGCACUCCCAGAGAAACAAAGAAAUUCAAGCCUUGAUGUAUUCAAUGCGAACUGCAACAGAGGACAAUGAGUACAUUUAAUCGUUGUGGUGGCCUUUGGUCACCUCAUUUAUGGCUUGUAAGUGUAAUGGAAGUUAGUGAGUUAGUUUUUAGUAAGCACACAAAUAAAGACAAGGUCACUUGUCUCCCAGUAGACAAAAUAGUGAAUGAAGUAUUGGCUUCUUCCCUUGUGAAAAACUUGUGGUGCAAUAUUAUUGCAAAUUAUGAUAUGGAAAUCUCUAAAGAAUGUCAGUUCCUGUGUUUAGGAAAUAUUGUAAAGUUAUAUGUUACUGUUAGAUGUUUUCAUUUGCCAAAGAUACUGUAAAUAAUGUGUGACUAGUGAAGUGAUGUAUUAAUCAAUAUUAAAUGUAUUCCUUGAACCCUUUUGCCACCAAAGAAGUACAUUAGUUUUUUUAAGAUCACGUCUUUGAAAUGUUAUUGCAUUUGACCAAAUGUCCAGCUUAAAUAUAAUCUAGGGUAUUGAAAACCAUAACCAGUCACUGUCACCACUGUGCUGUCACACAUGGUAUGUGACACAUUUGAAGUGCAUGAUCACAUGAUCUACUGAAAUCUAGCAGGUUUCUAAUUAGCAAUCCAACCUGAGGUUUAUAAAUAUUUGAUGUUUGGAUGAUUUUUAUAGUUUAAUUAAUUUUAUGAGAUGUAUUUUGUAUGAUUGUCGUAAGUAAAGGAGUCCAAUAUAGUUAAUUAAAAAUCUGCUAAAUUUUAUGAGAUUUUAGCACGUCAUGUGACAAGCACCUACUGGGGUCUUUUCUCCCCAAAAGAAAAGAUCCUGGAUACAAGGUUGGUCGAGACAUUGUUACUAAAAUAUUUAUUGCAACUGAAUGCUAAAUGUAAAUAUUUUUUAGUAGGUUUUAAUUGCAAAUAUUUAUAUAGUGAUGAAAAAAUAUCUACACUAAUUAACUACUACAUUUCAGUUUAAUUAAUUAAAGGGUAUUAUUAUGGAGUAAAUCUAGCAUUAUUUGAAAGAGAUACACUUAAAUACUGAUUGGAUAGGAAUGAGUAUUUAACACUCCUUGUGAAGUGCUACAUCACCUUUCACUGUGGUCAGCUUAUAAGCAAUCCUCCCCAAGCUAACUGAUUCAGGGACAAAUAUUGCUGUUUAGCCAAUCAUAAUGAAGCGUAAUCUUACUAAUAUACUGUAGCACUUCAUGGGAGUGGUAAUAGACCUUAAAAGUGCUUAUAUCACACAAUUUUGAAUCAAUGAAAACAUUAGGUAUAUUUUGUCCUGCAUGUUUCCCACAUUGCAUUGCAAUUUAUUGUUUAGCACUGAUAUGACUUACUUAACCCAUUCAGUAAAAUUGUGCCCUGAUGGGCCCUACUUUACUCUGUCUAAUGCCAGACUAUUUUACUCUGUUUAACACCAGACAAUUUUAUUUGUCAAGGGUAGAUGGUUGGUGUUUAAUGGGUUAAGCACUUCUAAGGUACUGUUAAUUUUGAAAAUUCUUAACAAGGUAAACUAUUAGAUCAUUUUUGUGGCAUGAAGUACAUAUUGGUGUCAGCACUAAAUUGCUUCAAAGUUAUAUCAUGCAUAGCUAGAUCAAGCAAAAUUAUAAUGAGAUUUAGCUCAUUUGUUUUAACAGCAUGGAAAUUCUCUAAAUUUAACCCUUUAAGUUGCAAUGUACCCAGAUGCACCCUACUUUAUUAUUUUACUCUGUCUAUUACAGUAAUGCCAGAUGAUUUUACUCGUAGCACUGUGCACAAUACAAUAGUACCUCCAUAAGAAAUGUUCAAUAUGUCUACAGACUUCAAGAGUUCUCGCAAAAUGAUCAAUAUUUUGCAUUACUUGUUAACUAUUGUUCUCAUAACAUGUUCAAGAUCACUAUUUCUUGAUUGUUUUAUGUUCUUCUCUUUGGGCAAUGACUCCUCACUGACAUUACACAUUUACACCACUUGCUUCGCUUUAAUACCAGAAUGCCGUCCAGAAUUGAAACAUUUCCUUGAAUCAU
rnacentral:lncRNA from 1 species